CAUACAAUAUGAAAUCUCUGCUCUUUUCUCCAUACAUUCUGAAAUUUCUUAUCGUUUGGGUUAGAAAUUUUCCUUCGCAUAUUCACACAGAACUUUCCCUUUGCUAUUUUUUAAGGAAAUCCUCCAGCCGUCCAAAGCACAUACAUGUACAAAAGUUCAUUUAUCCAGUAGAGGAUGGAUUCCUCCAGAAGAUUUUGGAGUUGGUCCCAGUAGCGUACCAUAGACGUGCUCAGAUUCAGCUAUUCAGAAGAGACUUGAGAUGGAGAGAACACGUAAUACAUCUACCGACGGACAGG